AUUCAAUAUCUUUCAUAUCUAAACAUCAUAAAUAAUCUAUAGCUGUGUGGGGCCCCAGGGAGUUGCCUUAUUUGCCC